rnacentral:rRNA from 1 species
UACGGGGGGAGCAAGCGUUGUUCGGAUUUACUGGGCGUAAAGGGCGCGUAGGCGGCACAGCAAGUCGGGAGUGAAAGCCCGGGGCUCAACCCCGGAAUGGCUUUCGAAACUGCUGAGCUAGAGUACAGAAGGGGCAACCGGAAUUCCCAGUGUAGCGGUGAAAUGCGUAGAUAUUGGGAAGAACACCUGAGGCGAAGGCGGGUUGCUGGGCUGAUACUGACGCUGAGGCGCGAAAGCCAGGGGAGCAAACGGG